UGCAUAUCAAUAAGCGGAGGAAAAGAAACCAACAGGGAUUGCCUUAGUAGCGGCGAGUGAAGCGGCAAAAGCUCAAAUUUGAAAUCUGGCACCUUCGGUGUCCGAGUUGUAAUUUGAAGAUUGUAACCUUGGGGUUGGCUCUUGUCUAUGUUUCUUGGAACAGGACGUCACAGAGGGUGAGAAUCCCGUGCGAUGAGAUGCCCAAUCCUAUGUAAGGUGCUUUCGAAGAGUCGAGUUGUUUGGGAAUGCAGCUCUAAGUGGGUGGUAAAUUCCAUCUAAAGCUAAAUAUUGGCGAGAGACCGAUAGCGAACAAGUACAGUGAUGGAAAGAUGAAAAGAACUUUGAAAAGAGAGUGAAAAAGUACGUGAAAUUGUUGAAAGGGAAGGGUUUGAGAUCAGACUCGAUAUUUUGUGAGCCUUGCCUUCGUGGCGGGGUGACCCGCAGCUUAUCGGGCCAGCAUCGGUUUGGGCGGUAGGAUAAUGGCGUAGGAAUGUGACUUUGCUUCGGUGAGGAGUGUUAUAGCCUGCGUUGAUGCUGCCUGCCUAGACCGAGGACUGCGA
rnacentral:rRNA from 1 species